rnacentral:lncRNA from 1 species
UCGCAGCCGCCGGCAGCGGCGGAGCACGACAAGAUCAUCCUCCAGUUCGGGAAGGUCGGCAAGGACAUGUUCACCAUGGACUACCGGUACCCUCUCUCGGCCUUCCAGGCCUUCGCCAUAUGCCUGAGCAGCUUCGACACCAAGCUGGCCUGUGAAUAAAAGAAACGAGAAACCUCUGAAGCAUUGACUGAAAGCCUAGCGAACGAUAUCCGCCCUGCGGCGGCGAGAUUAGGGAAGGCGAAAUUGAAACCAGAUUGAACGCAGCACCCUCUCACUCGGCGCUCUCUCUCGUCCUGUGGCUCUCCGUCGGUUCUCCUCAUCCACCUUCCCCGGUCAUCGUCUGUUCCCCGAGCUCUGUAUCUCUCUCUCUCUCUCUCUCUCUCUCUCUCUCUCUCU